UAGUUGGUCGUGAGGCUGACGAACAUUGAGUUGGGCUGAGCAAGGC
rnacentral:rRNA from 1 species